rnacentral:rRNA from 1 species
ACGAACGCUGGCGGCGUGGAUAAGACAUGCAAGUCGAGCGAAGUAUCCUGGGUAGCAAUAUUUGGGAUGCUUAGCGGCGCAAGGGUGCGUAACACGUGGGCAAUCUGCCCUGAAGCCUGGGAUAACUCCGAGAAAUCGGAGCUAAUACCGGAUGUGACUGCUGAGAGGCAUCUCUUGGCAUUCAAAGUUGGGGACCGAAAGGCCUGACACUUCAGGAUGAGCCCGCGGCCUAUCAGCUAGUUGGUGAGGUAGCGGCUCACCAAGGCUAAGACGGGUAGCUGGUCUGAGAGGACGACCAGCCUCACUGGAACUGAGACACGGUCCAGACACCUACGGGUGGCAGCAGUCGAGAAUUUUCACAAUGGGCGAAAGCCUGAUGGAGCGACGCGCGUGGGGAUGAAUGGCUUCGGCCGUAACCCCUGUCAUUCGCGAACAACCUCACCAUUUAAAGAUAGUGAGCUGAUUGUAGC